CUUACCCUUAGAACUACUGCAGGGUGGCUGCUGUGUCACACGUGCAUCAGUGGGUGUCAGAGAGGAGAGAACCUACACCCACCUCAGUGCUCUGACCUGUGAGCAGCUGAGUGACUAGAAACCUAACAAC